rnacentral:rRNA from 1 species
UGAAGGCUGAAAUUCGCCUUCAUGAAGCCGGAAUUGCUAGUAAUGGCAGGUCAGCAUACUGCCGUGAAUACGUUCCCGGGCCUUGUACACACCGCCCGUCACACCAUGAGAGUUGGGAAUACCCGAAGCCUGUGAGCUAACGAAAGAGGCAGCAGUCGAAGGUAGAAUCAAUGAUUGGGGUGAAGUCGUAACAAGGUACC